UACAGAGGGUGCAAGCGUUGCUCGGAUUUACUGGGCGUAAAGCGUACGCAGACGGUGAGAAAGGUCGGAUGUGAAAGCCCCGGGCUCAACCCGGGAACUGCAUCCGAAACCAUCUCGCUAGAGUAUGGGAGAGGGAAGCGGAAUUCCUGGUGUAGAGGUGAAAUUCGUAGAUAUCAGGAGGAACAUCUGCGGCGAAGGCGGCUUCCUGGCCCAUUACUGACGUUCAGGUACAAGA
rnacentral:rRNA from 1 species